AUUGAACGCUGGCGGCAGGCCUAACACAUGCAAGUCGAACGGAGCGGCGGACGCGUGAGUAAUGCCUAGGAAUCUGCCUGGUAGUGGUGGAUAACGUCCGGAAACGGGCGCUAAUACCACAUACUAUCACAUUAGCCUAGGUCGGAUUAGCUUGUUGGUGGGGUAAAGGCCUACCCAGGCGACGAUCCCUAGCUGGUCUGAGAGGAUGACCAGCAACACUGGAACUGAGACACGGUCCAGACUCCUACGGGAGGCAGCAGUGGGGAAUAUUGCACAAUGGGCGCAAGCCUGAUGCAGCCAUGCCGCGUGUGUGAAGAAGGCCUUCGGGUUGUAAAGUACUUUCAGCGGGGAGGCGUUACCCGCAGAAGAAGCACCGGCUAACUCCGUGCCAGCAGCCGCGGUAAUAC
rnacentral:rRNA from 1 species